AUUGAACGCUGGCGGCAUGCCUUACACAUGCAAGUCGAACGGCAGCACGGGGAGCAAUCCCUGGUGGCGAGUGGCGAACGGGUGAGUAAUGCAUCGGAACGUGCCAUUUAGUGGGGGAUAGCUCGGCGAAAGCCGGAUUAAUACCGCAUAAGCUCUACGGAGGAAAGCUGGGGAACCGCAAGGUCCUGGUGCUAAUUGAUCGGCCGAUGUCAGAUUAUGGUAGUUGGUGGGGUAAAAGCCUACCAAGCCUGCGAUCUGUAGCUGGUCUGAGAGGACGACCAGCCACACUGGAACUGAGACACGGUCCAGACUCCUACGGGAGGCAGCAGUGGGGAAUUUUGGACAAUGGGGGAAACCCUGAUCCAGCGAUGCCGCGUGAGUGAUGAAGGCCUUCGGGUUGUAAAACUCUUUCGGACGGGGCGAAAUCUUUAUGGUGAAUAGCCGUGAAGGAUGACAGUACUGUAAGAAGAAGCACCGGCUAACUACGUGCCAGCCGCCGCUGUAA
rnacentral:rRNA from 1 species